UACGUAGGGUGCAAGCGUUGUCCGGAAUUAUUGGGCGUAAAGAGCUCGUAGGCGGUUUGUCGCGUCGGCUGUGAAAGCCCGGAGCUCAACUCCGGGUCUGCAGUCGAUACGGGCAGACUUGAGUGUUGCAGGGGAGACUGGAAUUCCUGGUGUAGCGGUGGAAUGCGCAGAUAUCAGGAGGAACACCGGUGGCGAAGGCGGGUCUCUGGGCCGUUACUGACGCUGAGGAGCGAAAGCGUGGGGAGCGAACAGG
rnacentral:rRNA from 1 species